rnacentral:rRNA from 1 species
UACGAAGGGGGCUAGCGUUGUUCGGAAUCACUGGGCGUAAAGCGCACGUAGGCGGCUUUCUAAGUCGGGGGGUGAAAUCCUGGAGCUCAACUCCAGAACUGCCUCGAUACUGGAGAGCUCGAGUCCGGGGAGAGGUGAGUGGAACUGCGAGUGUAGAGGUGAAAUUCGUAGAUUAUUCGCAAGAACACCAGUGGCGAAGGCGGCUCACUGGCCCGAUACUGACGCUGAGGCACGAAAGCGUGGGGAGCAAAGCAGG